AUUUCUUUGUAUUGACAAUUUCCUGAGAGGACAUCAGCAUGGAUCUUCACAUAUAUGAAGGAAAGUGGAAAACCUACCAGCUUCCUGAAUAUUUACUGAGAUCUGUAUGACAUUUACCUCAUGGGAAGAGUAAAAGAAAACUGGCUGGACCUAGAAGAGACUCUGGUGUUACCCUUCCAAGCUGGGCCUUGGUUUUCCUAUCUGUAAAAUGGAAAUGAUAAUCCUUAGCCUUUGGAAUUGUUGCAUGAGAGUUUCCUAUUAAGGAGCCUGGGGCAAAGCAGAUGCUCACCAGGCAGGCCUCCCUUCCCUAAGUCCCCCAGACCUUAAACUUUAAGAGUUUGUGUGACCUGCUUUAGCAUGAACCCUCAAAGACAUUAGGGUGUGGGGAUGAGAGCAAGUGAGGGGACCACAAUGACAUGGACUCCCCUCCCCUCAUGGUCGCCUCCCUCUUUCUCCUGUCCUGUCUUCACUCUCUGCUGCUCUGAGAUCUGCCAGCUAGUUCUGCCUAGAACAGUUUUCUCUCUGAACUGACUUCCUCCAAUAAGAAGGCAGGUGAGUCCUUACUCCAGUUCACAACUUCUCUUGAGUGAUUUAAUGGCUUUUAAGCAAAAGCAACUAUCUGAGAGGCCUCAGGUACAAGGGAAAUCCAGUGGAGCUUUUAAACCAGGAUCUGGGUGCUUGGAAGGUACAGGGAAUGAGUAGGCUGGGUGGUCCUGUGUUGGGCACUUCUGCUUCCCUUCUCACCAGAUCUGAAGCAAGGGUGCAGGCCUUGCCAGUCACCCACACCUGAUCCCUGUGUGAACUCCCUGGGUUCAUUUAUGCCAAGCCAAAGCUACAAUCUGCUACCCCAACUCCCACAAGCAAUCCCAGCACUUCUGAGAAAGAUACAAAUCUCUUCCAAGGUGACCAGAAAAAAAAUUUAAAUUUAACUGCAAAAGAAUGUUACUUUAAAAUAGAAGAGUCUUUGAUGUGACUUACAUCUGUCAAAUCUUUGCAAAAUGAGGUAAAAGACAACACUUUGGUGCAGGAUGGUACAUACAGCAAGCCUCUUUAGGGAGGUCUUGGAGUGGUCUUUGCUCACCAAUAGAACCCAACUAUAUUCUACAACGUUAAGUAAUAUUUUAAAUAAGAAUUGUGGGCAUUCCUCAAAAGCGUUUAGGCAACUUCUUGACUUUAGGAAUUCAGUUCUUUUGCAAUGGGAAUGAAAAAUAAAUGUAUGUCGGUUACUGCCCCCAUCACCUGCAUACCACGUCAGCCUACACCAGCUCUGCUCACUUGUGGCCAAAUUGGAGUGAAGGGUGGUUGACCACAGGAGGUGAGAGAGGCCAGGAGCCCAGGGAGCCCAGGCUUGGUAGUGGUAUGUAGAGUAUGACUGUGUCUGGACACCAGCUACUCUGCUGAGUCACCGCUCAGACACAGCAACACAGGGCACAGCCGGUAUAGCAGCACAGCAGGUAGGGCCCCAAGAGCCAUAGAGCUGCAGGUCUGUGCCCUUGCCUCGGAUCUGGUGAGAAGAUCUGCCUGCAGAGGGCAGGCAGAGGGAAGGGGAUGUCUUUGCCAGCUGAAGCUCUCCAUUAGAGCUAGAACACAUCCCCAUCUCCAGAUAUGAAGCAGGGCUAUCUCCCACCUCCUAUACUCAUCUCAGGCAGCACAAGUCAUUAUGGGGAGCUCCCUUCUUCCUCCUCCAUUUCAACAUUUCUUUCACUUUCCAUUUAACCAAUAUUCUCUUGGAUGAAACUGUCUAGGAAGGGCCACUCCGCUGUUAACCCACUUGGUGUGUGGCCUCAAGCUCUGACCUCCCCAAUCUCUUUUCCCCCCCACAGCUGGACGAAAUCCAGGUUGGAAAAAAGGGAGAUUGAGAAGGGCUGCAUCCCAAAGUCAUCACAACAGCACAGGCUGCCCCAGCCUCCCAGUGUCAUCAUUCCCAAACACAUUUCUGUUUGUAUCAGAUCUUUUCAUACCCAAGAAUGGCAGAGAAAGACAGGAGUCCGCCUCGAAUGUCAGAGGCAGCUUCCGCUCUUCAUUGCCUAUGGUUUGGGAGUGUUUUCUUCUGAAUUUUUCUCCUUUAUUAUACAGUGUAGCCUUUGAGUAUUUUAGGUUUCUGGAUUUCAUGUUUUACCUUGUCCAUAUAAGCUUAUCCUUUUUUCAUCAUUAAUUCUGUCCCCCUGCCCAGCCAUCUUUUAUCUUUAUCCUAACUUUUUCACUUUAUCGGCUAAUGUCUUUAAGCAAUUAAUUUCCGGGGUUUUUUUUUUUUUUUACUAUUUUAUUAUCAUUUUUAUUUUUACAGAUCCUAAUUCUAACAUUUCUCCUUAACUUUAAAAAUUCUGUGAUGGUUAAUUGUGUCAACAUGACUGGAACGUGGAUGCUCAGUGAGUGGGUCACAUCCAAUCAGUUGAAGGCCUGAAUAGAAGAAAAGGGCUGACCUUCCCCAGAAGAAGGGAGAAUUCUUCCUGCCUGAAUGCCUUUGGACUGGGAUGUCAGCCUUUUUCCUACCUUUGGACUCAAACUGAAACAUUGGCUCUCCCUGGGUCUUCAGCCUGCCUUCAUUCAGACAGGACUACACCAUUAGCACUCAUAAUUCUCAGGCCUUCAGACGUGGACUGAAACUAAUCCAUCAGCUCUCUUGGGUCUCCAGCUUGCCAGUUCUCCCUGCAGAUCCUGGGACUCACCUGCCUCCAUAAUAGUGAGAAGAGCAUGUGCAAACAUUCCGGGGCAGGAGGGAGCAUGGAGAGUUCCAAGAAAACAGAAGGCAGCCUGGGGCCGAGUGGUGGGAGCAUGCACUGCAGGCAACCCAGGCAAACGCAGAUAAAUAAAAAAUAAAAGAAAAAGCCAUCAAGAACUUGCUGUGAAAGAA